CCUACGGGGGGCAGCAGUGGGGAAUAUUGGACAAUGGGGGUAACCCUGAUCCAGCCAUGCCGCGUGUGUGAAGAAGGCCCUCGGGUUGUAAAGCACUUUCAGUGAGGAAGAACGCCUGGUGGUUAAUACCCAUCAGGAAAGACAUCACUCACAGAAGAAGCACCGGCUAACUCCGUGCCAGCAGCCGCGGUAAUACGGAGGGUGCGAGCGUUAAUCGGAAUUACUGGGCGUAAAGCGCGCGUAGGUGGCUUGAUAAGCCGGUUGUGAAAGCCCCGGGCUCAACCUGGGAACGGCAUCCGGAACUGUCAAGCUAGAGUGCAGGAGAGGAAGGUAGAAUUCCCGGUGUAGCGGUGAAAUGCGUAGAGAGCGGGAGGAAUACCAGUGGCGAAGGCGGCCUUCUGGACUGACACUGACACUGAGGUGCGAAAGCGUGGGUAGCAAACAGGAUUAGAUACCCUAGUAGUC
rnacentral:rRNA from 1 species